GAAAUCCAAGUGUUGAGUUCGCUU
rnacentral:snRNA from 1 species